UUUUAGUUUAGCCUGUGAGAAAUCAUGUUCCUCACAUAUUUUACACUGUUGAUGCUUUCAGCUUUACCCUAUGUUGUGUUUGGAAUCGAGCUCAUCCAGCCAGACUCAGUGGUUGUUAAGCCUGAUGGAUCAUUGACUCUUACCUGUAAAGUAUCUGGGUAUUCUCUUACAGAUGACAGCUACGCAACAGGUUGGAUUCGGCAGCCUAAAGGAAAACCCCUGGAGUGGAUUAAUCACAUCUGGGGUGGUGGUAGCACUUAUCAGAAAGAUUCUCUGAAAAGCAAGUUUAGUAUAUCAAAGGAUUCCUCCAGCAGUACAGUUACACUGAAUGGAAAGAGCCUGCAGGUGGACGACACAGCUGUGUAUUACUGUGUCAGGUGCACAAUGUUACAAACACACAGAACUCAGUACAAAAACAUAUACAUGUUUUAACCAUGUUUGUUAAAAUUUAAAUCCCUGUA